ensembl:lncRNA
UUUUCUGUUUCACCGUUUUCCUGAAUAACAGUUAGGUGAGGAUGCUUUCAGGACUUGGUCCCAGGUAGCCUAUGCAGUUUUGACCAACGGCAGCUGGCUCUACCGCCCCACUGAGAGGCACUCUGAAAGAAGUCCAGACCGGGCAGAGUGGAGCCCGGGUGAAGAUUAUGAGGAUGAAGACCACGACGGCGUCCCCCCCUGCCUCGGCGGUCAUAUCAUCUCCACGGUUUAGAUGACGUUUUCAAACAGAUGCAUCGACCGCAUGAUGUUAUCGUCCUGCGGGAUGAAAUAACAGAUCCAUUGUGGUCCGUGUCGAAGGCGUUGAACAGAAAAUGUGCAUAUGUCGAGGCGUCUGGGGAGAGAGGCAUGGACAAGAACACAACCUGGUUACACAAUUGUCUUUUCCUGAAAGGAGAAUGGGAGCUUGAUGGCUCUGUUAGAUUGUGUACUGAAGUCCAAGAGUAAAUAUGUUUUGUGAGAUACAGUGGUAACAAUAAGUUUAUGCACCCAUGCUAAAGUUGACUAAAAAGAGGAAUAAAAAAAUCAUCUUUUGGAAAUCGAUUGACAAAUGAGGAAAAAUCCAUCCUUUUAGGCCACUUACGAUACAUUAUUCAUUCAUAAAGAAAAUUGGUGGCCUUAAAGGUGGGAUUUUUCCUCAUUUGUUUAAUUAAGGUAUUCCUUUUUGGUAAACUUUAGCAUGGGUGCAUAAACGUAUUCUUUCCACUGUAUAUGAGAAACGUCAUUGUUAAAGACAUUUUUUUUGGAAAGGAAUACAUAGGUAUGUAAAAUUUGAAAAAUAAGUUAAAAAUAUACAUGGGUUGGGUGUUUCACCAUUAUGCUGUUUCCUCUAUGGUUUUACGGUAUAGGUUAAUGUGUGCCUGGUUAGGGUCAGUACUGACGUCUUUCUUUUCUUGAUGCUAACAUUAAUUCUAAACAGCAUUUUACGAAGUAGCCUAUAAUAGUAAAAUGCUCAAAGGUAAAUCAGCGUAAUUUAACACUUACUGUAGCUGUUUAUGGGUAAAGUAGCAACGGUGAUGGACCGUACUAAACGCCCUAUCCAUUGUAUGGGUCUGUAAAAUGCUAAUCAAAUCAAAUGUAUUUAUUAAGCACCUUUAUUAAGGCAAGGGGUUGGGGGGAGAUUUAUGUUUUUUACGUGCCUGUCUACGCUUCAAACUCGUGCAGAUUGCAGAACAUAUGCAACAGCGCCCCCUGGGGUCACACUUUUCGGUGGGUUGCAGAAAUCCUCCUGUUCUUAUGUCUGUCUAUUCUAACUUCAACUACCAGUUAAUCUUGGUCAUUCCCACUCACCCAUUCAUUCGGAAUGACUGUUUGUGCAAAUUAAUUAUUGUGAAUUAAGUCAUGUUGUUGUUACCCCUUAUGAUUUUUUUCAUGACGAC